CUGACACAUUGAGAUAGCGGAACCCAGGCGUUGGUUGACCUGGGCGAAAGGGACCGAAAUAUAGUAGGGAAGUCCGCGAUGCUGAGUGGCGAGAAAAGGCGUGAGGAAUACUAAGGCGCCCGUACCGCAAACCGACACAGGUGGAUGAGGAGAAAAUCCUAAGACCAGCGGGAGAAGGGUUGUUAAGGAACUCUGCAAGUUGACCCCGUAACUUCGGAAUAAGGGGAGCCUCGAAAGAGGUCACAGUUAAUAGGCCCAAGCAACUGUUUACCAAAAACACAGGUUUAUGCUAAAUCGAAAGAUGACGUAUAUGAGCUGACGCCUGCCCGGUGCUGGAAGGUUAAGAGGAAGGCUUAGCCGCAAGGCGAAGGUCUGAAUUGAAGCCCCAGUAAACGGCGGCCGUAACAAUAACGGUCCUAAGGUAGCGAAAUUCCUUGUCAGGUAAGUUCUGACCCGCACGAAAGGCGUAAUGAUUUGGGCACUGUCUCAACAGCCCACCCGGCGAAAUUGUAGUACCGGUGAAGAUGCCGGUUACCCGCAACUAGACGGAAAGACCCCAUGGAGCUUCACUGUAGCUUAAUACUGGAAAUCGGCAAAUCAUGUACAGGAUAGGUGGGAGACUUAGAAGCACAGGCGUCAGCUUGUGUGGAGUCACCCUUGGGAUACCACCCUUGGUUUACUGGUUUUCUAACCUGCGGCCCUGAAUCGGGUCGGGGGACACUGUUAGGUGGGCAGUCUGACUGGGGCGGUCGCCUCCAAAAAGGUAACGGAGGCGCUCAAAGGUUGGCUCAGCACGGACGGAAAUCGUGCAAUGAGUGUAAACGUAGAAGCCAACUUGACUGCGAGACCGACGGGUCGAGCAGGUACGAAAGUAGGAGUUAGUGAUCCGGUGGUAUGCAAGUGGAAGUGCCAUCGCUCAACGGAUAAAAGCUACCCUGGGGAUAACAGGCUGAUCUCCCCCAAGCGUCCACAGCGACGGGGAGGUUUGGCACCUCGAUGUCGGCUCGUCGCAUCCUGGGGCUGAAUUCGGUCCCAAGGGUUUGGCUGUUCGCCAAUUAAAGCGGCACGCGAGCUGGGUUCAGAACGUCGUGAGACAGUUCGGUCCCUAUCUGUUGCGGGCGAAAGAGAUUUGAAGAGAGCUGUCCUUAGUACGAGAGGACCGGGAUGGACAUACCUCUGGUGCACCAGUUGUCGUGCCAACGGCACAGCUGGGUAGCUAUGUAUGGAAGAGAUAAACGCUGAAGGCAUCUAAGCGUGAAACUCCCUCUAAGAUAAGAUCUCUCAUCCUAAAAGGAGUAAGGCCCCAGAAAGACGAUCUGGUUGAUAGGCUGGAAGUGUAAGUGCAGUAAUGUAUUGAGCUGACCAGUACUAAUAGGCCGAGGGCUUGAUC
rnacentral:rRNA from 1 species